rnacentral:rRNA from 1 species
AGAUUGAACGCUGGCGGAAUGCUUUACACAUGCAAGUCGAACGGCAGCACGGGACUCAGGCAACUGAGCCCUGGUGGCGAGUGGCGAACGGGUGAGUAACAUAUCGGAACGUACCCAGUCGUGGGGGGAUAACUCGUCCGAAAGGAGAGCUAAUACCGCAUACGUCCUGAGAGAGAAAGCGGGGGACCUAAGGGUAACUGAGGCCUCGCGCGAUUGGAGCGGCCGAUAUCGGAUUAGCUAGUUGGUGAGGUAACGGCUCACCAAGGCGACGACGCGUAGCGGGCUGAGAGGUGGCCGGCACAUUGGGACUGAGACACUCGCCAGACUCCGUACGGGGGGCUGCAGUAACAAUCUUCCGACAAUGACAACGAAAGUGUAGACGGA